rnacentral:lncRNA from 1 species
GGGAGGCUCAGCGGUGGAGCUGUUGCCUUGGGCCCAGGCCAUGACCCCGGGGUCCUGGGAUUGAGUCCUGCGUUGAGCUCCCUGUGGGGAGCCUGCUUCUCCCCCUGCCUAUGUCUCUGUCUCUCUCUGUGUCUCUCAUGAAUAAAUAAAUACAAUCUUAAAAAAAAAAGCAGCAGAUCCAACAAAUGUUUGUUGUGGAUAAUUCAUUCAUUGCAGAGAUAUUUCUGGAGCCCUCGCCGCGGGCUGGACCCUGCCCUGGGCCCCGGUUGGAGGGGACGGUGACGCUGAGUCACGAGCCCGGUCGUAGCACAGGGAUCUUUAGCAAGAAAUAAAAUUAAAGUGAAGAAGAAGUAGGAGGAGGAGAAGAAGAAGAGGAGGAGAAGGAGAUGAAGCAGAAGAAGAGGAGGAGGAGGAUGAAGAAGAGGAGGAGGAGGAGGAGAUGUGGGAUGAAACAUACCAGCAUAGCCAUCUUUGCAAAGAUAGCCUGUCACAGAGGAUAUGAAUAGACAUUUUUCCAAGGAAAUCAUACAGAUG